UUCAGUGAUGAAAACUGCUGCAUAGGAAGUGCCGUCUGAUGCGAUAACUGACGAACAACAGCUGUUCCGAGA